rnacentral:lncRNA from 1 species
UUCUAGCUAGCCCAUGUAAAAGACACAGAAACGCAGCGUUUUAUUUACUAGCUGUGAGUCUAGAUUGGGCAGGCUCUAUGCUCUUCUCACCUGGAUCCAAACCAUGGCCCUUGUCACCUUGUGUGUGAGUGUCACCUGGGCCACUCUUGCUCUAUCAGCCUGUCCUCAGGAUGCACUUCCGACCACACGCUCCUGGUCCAGCGGCCUCCUCCCUUCUCCACCUGCUCUUUCCUUCUCCCCUGUGGGCUCUCAAGAUCCCUCACUUGCUUCUCGGGUCCUGCAUUUCUCUCUGCCCAGUCACGGGCCUUUUACUAACCAGUCAAUUUCUCUCUGCCCAGUCACAGGCCUUUUACUAACCAGUCAAUUUCUCUCUGCCCAGUCACGGGCCUUUUACUAACCAGUCACUUUCUCUCUGCCCAGUCACGGGCCUUUUACUAACUAGUCACUUUAAACUGGGAGCAAGGUUUGCACAGCAAAGGCCAGGCAGUGUACAUGGGCAUGCACUGGUCUGGAUGGCAACCUGAUUUGAGGUUCAGAAUUUAGCAUUUUAUACAUAGAAACAGGGCCACCCCAGUAGAACCCCAGUCCUCUGGAAGAGCAGCCAGUGCUUUUAACCCUGAAGACAUUUCAUUCUUGAGUUUGAGAACUUUUUCAAGGGAAGGUAUUUUUUCAUAAUAAGU